rnacentral:rRNA from 1 species
UUACGCUGUUAUCCCUAAGGUAAUUUAUUUAAAAAUCUAAAAUUUUAGGAUUUUUAAUUCAUUAAUUAAUGUUUUUAUAUUUAAAGUUUAAUUAAUUUAAAAAUUACCCCAAUUAAAUAAUAAAAUUUAUUUAUAUAAAUUUUAUUAUAAAAUUCUAUAGGGUCUUAUCGUCUAUUAAUUAAAUUUAAGAAUUUUUACUUAAAAUUUAAUUUUAAAUAUUAAUUAUUUUUAUAUAGUGUAUAUUUCAUUAAAUCAUUCAUUCUAGUUUUUAAUUAAAAAACUAUUUAUUAUGCUACCUUUGUACAGUUAUUAAUACUGCAGCCAUUAAAAUUUCAUUGGGCAGAUUUGACUUAAAAUUAUUUUCUAUAAGACAUGUUUUUGUUAAACAGGCG